rnacentral:rRNA from 1 species
CCUACGGGGUGCAGCAGUGGGGAAUAUUGGGCAAUGGGCGCAAGCCUGACCCAGCAACGCCGCGUGAAGGAAGAAGGCUUUCGGGUUGUAAACUUCUUUUGUCAGGGACGAAGCAAGUGACGGUACCUGACGAAUAAGCCACGGCUAACUACGUACCAGCAGCCGCGGUAAUACGUAGGUGGCAAGCGUUAUCCGGAUUUAUUGGGUGUAAAGGGCGUGUAGGCGGGAAUGCAAGUCAGAUGUGAAAACUAUGGGCUCAACCCAUAGCCUGCAUUUGAAACUGUAUUUCUUGAGUGCUGGAGAGGCAAUCGGAAUUCCGGGGGUAGCGGGGAAAUGCGUAGAGAUACGGAGGAACACCAGUGGCGAAGGCGGAUUGCUGGACAGUAACUGACGCUGAGGCGCGAAAGCGUGGGGAGCAAACAGGAUUAGAUACCCUUGUAGUC